rnacentral:rRNA from 1 species
AUUGAACGCUGGCGGCAGGCCUAACACAUGCAAGUCGAACGGUAACAGGAAGAAGCUUGCUUCUUUGCUGACGAGUGGCGGACGGGUGAGUAAUGUCUGGGAAACUGCCUGAUGGAGGGGGAUAACUACUGGAAACGGUAGCUAAUACCGCAUAACGUCGCAAGACCAAAAAGGGGGACCUUCGGGCCUCUUGCCAUCGGAUGUGCCCAGAUGGGAUUAGCUAGUAGGUGGGGUAACGGCUCACCUAGGCGACGAUCCCUAGCUGGUCUGAGAGGAUGACCAGCCACACUGGAACUGAGACACGGUCCAGACUCCUACGGGAGGCAGCAGUGGGGAAUAUUGCACAAUGGGCGCAAGCCCGAUGCAGCCAUGCCACGUGUAUGAAGAAGGCCUUCGGGUUGUAAAGUACUUUCAGCGGGGAGGAAGGGAGUAAAGUUAAUACCUUUGCUCAUUGACGUUACCCGCAGAAGAAGCACCGGCUAACUCCGUG